rnacentral:rRNA from 1 species
UAAUACGGAGGGGGCGAGUGUUGUUCGGAAUUACUGGGCGUAAAGGGCGCGCAGGCGGCCUGGCAAGUCGAGUGUGAAAUCCCUUGGCUUAACUGAGGAAUGGCGCUCGAAACUACCUCGCUGGAGGGCGGGAGAGGGAAGUGGAACUCUCGGUGUAGGGGUGAAAUCUGUAGAUAUCGAGAGGAACACCGGUGGCGAAGGCGGCUUCCUGGCCCGUACCUGACGCUGAGGCGCGAAAGCGUGGGGAGCAAACAGGAUUAGAUACCCCGGUAGUCCUGGCCCUAAACGAUGAAUGCUUGGUGUGGCGGGUAUCGAUCCCUGCCGUGCCGAAGCUAACGCAUUAAGCAUUCCGCCUGGGGAGUACGGUCGCAAGGCUG